rnacentral:rRNA from 1 species
UACGUAGGGUCCGAGCGUUGUCCGGAAUUAUUGGGCGUAAAGGGCGCGUAGGCGGCUUAACAAGUCACUUGUGAAAUCUCCGGGCUUAACUCGGAACGGUCAAGUGAUACUGUCGGACUAGAGUACAGAAGGGGCAACUGGAAUUCUCGGUGUAGCGGUGAAAUGCGCAGAUAUCAGGAGGAACACCAAUGGCGAAGGCAGCACUCUGGGACGUGACUGACGCUGAGACGCGAAAGCGUGGGGAGCAAACAGG